UACGGGGGGAGCAAGCGUUGUUCGGAUUUACUGGGCGUAAAGGGCGCGUAGGCGGCCACCGCAAGUCGAUUGUGAAAUCUCCGGGCUUAACCCGGAAAGGUCAACCGAUACUGCGGGGCUAGAGUGCAGAAGGGGCAACUGGAAUUCUCGGUGUAGCGGUGAAAUGCGUAGAUAUCGAGAGGAACACCUGCGGCGAAGGCGGCAUCCUGGACCGGCAUUGACGCUGAGGAGCGAAAGCCAGGGGAGCAAACGGG
rnacentral:rRNA from 1 species